CCUACGGGAGGCAGCAGUAGGGAAUAUUGCUCAAUGGGGGAAACCCUGAUGCAGCGACGCCGCGUGUGGGAAGACGGUCCUCUGGAUUGUAAACCACUGUCCCCAGGGACGAAGAUGACGGUACCUGGGGAGGAAGCUCCGGCUAACUACGUGCCAGCAGCCGCGGUAAUACGUAGGGAGCGAGCGUUGUCCGGAAUUACUGGGUGAAAAGGGAGCGUAGGCGGGACUGCAAGUUGGGUGUCAAAUCUACCGGCUCAACCGGUAGCCGCACUCAAAACUGCAGUUCUUGAGUGAAGUAGAGGCAGGCGGAAUUCCUAGUGUAGCGGUGAAAUGCGUAGAUAUUAGGAGGAACACCAGUGGCGAAGGCGGCCUGCUGGGCUUUUACUGACGCUGAGGCUCGAAAGUGUGGGGAGCAAACAGGAUUAGAUACCCGUGUAGUC
rnacentral:rRNA from 1 species